rnacentral:lncRNA from 1 species
GUUUUGAAGCUAAUAUCUCAUCUACUCGAUUUCCAUUGCAAGGGAGGUAACUUCUAUAUUCUUGAUUUUAUUUUUCCUAUGUGCUCCUACGUGUUAUGUGAAUAUGCCUGUCUAUUUCGCUUUCCUUACAUCCUUACAUGCAUUUACUUGCUUUUAAUUUUAUUUAAGUUUUAUGGGGUAUGUGUACACCUCUUGGCUUGUAAUAGAUAGUGCUCGGAGAGCAUCUUGUCCAUUUCCCCUUCCCCUUUAAGUUUUAUGGGGUAUGUGUACACCUCUUGGCUUGUAA